AGUGAACGCUGGCGGUAGGCCUAACACAUGCAAGUCGAACGGCAGCACAGGAGAGCUUGCUCUCUGGGUGGCGAGUGGCGGACGGGUGAGGAAUACAUCGGAAUCUACCUUUUCGUGGGGGAUAACGUAGGGAAACUUACGCUAAUACCGCAUACGACCUACGGGUGAAAGUGGGGGACCGCAAGGCCUCACGCGAUUAGAUGAGCCGAUGUCCGAUUAGCUAGUUGGCGGGGUAAUGGCCCACCAAGGCGACGAUCGGUAGCUGGCCUGAGGGGAUGAUCAGCACCACUAGAACUGAGAGACGGUCCAGACUCAUACGGUGUGCAUCAGUAGGGAACAUUGAACAAUAGGCGCAAGCCUGAUCCAGCCGUACCGCGUGCGUGAAGAAGGCCUUCGGGUUGUAAAGCCCUUUUGUUGGGAAAGAAAUCCUGUCGAUUAAUACUCGGUGGGGAUGACGGUACCCAAAGAAUAAGCGCCGGCUAACUUCGUGCCAGCAGCCGCGGUAAUAC
rnacentral:rRNA from 1 species